UUUUGUCAGCCUGUGCACUGAAAUGUUAUGAUUGCAUAGGGGAAUCCUCUGAAAACUGCAAUAAGAUAACAGAAUGUUCUUUCAGUACUCAGUGUGCUUCAAUCAGACAGAUUACAUAUGCAGGUGGUUCAAAAGUUGAUCUCACAGUGAAAACUUGUGCUGGAUUUUGUGAUGAGGGCUCUUUCAGCACUGGAGUCGGCAGGAACUUUUUCACCACCAAGUGUUGCAGUUCUGGCCUUCUCUGUUGGCAAUAUCGUCUCUCUGAACGGAAAAAAGUGUUUCUACUGUGAUCAACAAAAUUGCAAAAAAAACGCAUAACUGCUACAAAAAUGAGGACUUCUGCUUCUCAGCAACAGUGAAUUCAGAAGGGGCACAGGCAACUGCAAAGGGCUGCAUCUCCAAGUUUUUUUGCCAAAAGCCAAAAACUGUAUUUGAGAAAGGAUUCAUUCGAGAACUUAACUGCUGCCAGGGUGACUUCUGCAACAGCGCCAGCAGUACAAGUGCAAGUUUUCUGCUCUUGGUGGCAUUGCUAAUCUCUACUAAUCUGUUGUCUUAAUGUUUUUUUCUCAUAUUCAAACUGCUUCCAGCCGUUUCUCCAGAACCCACAGAUGAUUUAAAGUUUAGUGAGAAAAUUACUAAAUAUGAUUAAUAUUUGUGUCCUUCGUCAAAAUGUUCAAAAUCUGUUUUUAAAAAAAUAUUGCCUGUAAAUGUUCUCUUGUAUGUAGUAAUAAAUUGCCUUUUAUG